rnacentral:tRNA from 1 species
GCCCGGCUGGCUCAGUCGGUGGAGCAUGUGACUCUUGAUCUCGGGGUUGUGAGUCUGAGCCCCACGCUGGGUG